AACGAACGCUGGCGGCAGGCUUAACACAUGCAAGUCGAACGCCCGUAGCAAUACGGGAGUGGCGGACGGGUGAGUAACGCGUGGGAACGCACCCUGAGGUACGGAAUAACCGAGGGAAACUUCGGCUAAUACCGUAUGAGCCCCGCAAGGGGAAAGGAUUUAUCGCCUUGGGAGCGGCCCGCGUCGGAUUAGCUAGUUGGUGGGGUAACGGCCUACCAAGGCUUCGAUCCGUAGCUGGUCUGAGAGGACGAUCAGCCACACUGGGACUGAGACACGGCCCAGACUCCUACGGGAGGCAGCAGUGGGGGAUCUUGCGCAAUGGGGGCAACCCUGACGCAGCCAUGCCGCGUGAACGAUGAAGGCCUUAGGGUUGUAAAGUUCUUUUACCCGUGACGAUGAUG
rnacentral:rRNA from 1 species